rnacentral:rRNA from 1 species
GACGAACGCUGGCGGCGUGCUUAACACAUGCAAGUCGAACGGAAAGGCCUCUUUCGGGGGGUACUCGAGUGGCGAACGGGUGAGUAACACGUGAGUAACCUGCCCUUGACUUUGGGAUAACUUCAGGAAACUGGGGCUAAUACCGGAUAGGAGCUCCUGCUGCAUGGUGGGGGUUGGAAAGUUUCGGCGGUUGGGGAUGGACUCGCGGCUUAUCAGCUUGUUGGUGGGGUAGUGGCUUACCAAGGCUUUGACGGGUAGCCGGCCUGAGAGGGUGACCGGCCAACUGGGGCCUGAGAAAGGGCCCAGACCCCUACGGGGGGAAGCGGUGGGAAAUAUUGCAAAAUGGGGGGAACCCUGAUGAAGCACCGCCGGGUGCGGGAUGACGGCCUUCGGGUUGUAAACCCUUUUCGCUCAUGACGAAGCUUUUUGUGACGGUAGUGGGAAAAAGAGCACCGGCAAACUCCGU